AUUGGCUUCUUGUGGGUUAGUGGGUUACUGUUAAUGCCACGACUAUUUUGUUGUGGAAAUUUCAGUGGUGGAAUGAUAAUUUUGAUAUUCUAUAAUACCCUCUUUCAGAUUAGUUGCUAGUUUUCUCAUGGCUCAUUUAUACUUCAAGAUAUUUAUAUUUAUUUUAAAUACUUAGAGAACUCUUUGACUUUUGGAGCCAAUGACACAAGACCAUAAGAUUCAUCAAGGGAUCUCAGACAUGUCAUAGGUUUACCCACUCACUUCGCCAAAGGCAAACUUUGGGGUCCACAGAGGAACAGUGAAUAGCUUCAGAUCCCAUAGCAUUGGAAUUAUUUUGUUGAGAAUUUCCUCCAUUUCAAAACGUCUGGUGUGCCAGAGAUACAAAAAUUCAUCUGUUGUUCACAUCCUUAGGUUGAGGGCCCGAAUGUACACUUGUAAUCAAUCUAUUUAUAGACAGGUUUGACAUUGGGUGGAAUAUUGUUCAGUUUCUUCAUUUAUAAAAUGAAGAUAGUAAUACAGUCUAUUUCCUGGAGUGGUUGUAAUAUGCAGAUAGGAUAUGCGUAAAGCACAUUGGAAACCUGAAACUAUGGUACAAAUGAGAGAUAUUAUUAUCAUUAUCAGCAUUGUUGUUCCUAUUUAUUACAUGCUUAUCACUACUGUGACCUCUUGGAUAGAAAACCAUGGUCUUGAGGUGAGAAGGGAACAAUUGAGCGUAUUCUCCCUAUAUAUUACAAUUUGUGUUAGUGGAUAUUUAUUGCAGCAAUCUGUGUGAUAUGCAACAUUGAUUUUGAGACUUUUACUGUCUAAUCCUAGGAGGGUGUCUGAAAAGGAAAUUCGCCCAGUUCGAAUCUGCUGAUUGAAUCACAGAACACUUGACAAAUGGCGGGAUGAUCUCUUUAAAAAUCAAGUCACCCAGUAAAAGCUGCUCCUUAUUGCAUCAUAGAACACUUGUGAUGUUAUGAUUCUAUCGCCAAGGAGGGUGUCUGAAAAGGAAAUUCGCCCAGUUCGAAUCUGCUGAUUGAAUCACAGAACACUUGACAAAUGGCGGGAUGAUCUCUUUAAAAAUCAAGUCACCCAGUAAAAGCUGCUCCUUAUUGCAUCAUAGAACACUUGUGAUGUUAUGAUUCUAUCGCCAAGGUAACUAACAUGGGCAGAGGGUGGUAACAGCAAGUAAGGGACUUAGAGAGAUCAUUCCUGCAAAGGAAACAAGGAGGCAGGUUGUGGGUGGUGUUUGGGACAGGGGUAUUUUGACAUAGUAUGUAAUGUUAUGUUAUACAAAUAUUGGCUGCGGAUUAUUGUAUUAUGCUGUGAUUUGCGGUAGAUUACUAUGUGGCACUGGGUCUGGGUUUAGAAUUGGCUUCUUGUGGGUUAGUGGGUUACUGUUAAUGCCACGACUAUUUUGUUGUGGAAAUUUCAGUGGUGGAAUGAUAAUUUUGAUAUUCUAUACUACCCUCUUUCAGAUUAGUUGCUAGUUUUCUCAUGGCUCAUUUAUACUUCAAGAUAUUUAUAUUUAUUUUAAAUACUUAGAGAACUCUUUGACUUUUGGAGCCAAUGACACAAGACCAUAAGAUUCAUCAAGGGAUCUCAGACAUGUCAUAGGUUUACCCACUCACUUCGCCAAAGGCAAACUUUGGGGUCCACAGAGGAACAGUGAAUAGCUUCAGAUCCCAUAGCAUUGGAAUUAUUUUGUUGAGAAUUUCCUCCAUUUCAAAACGUCUGGUGUGCCAGAGAUACAAAAAUUCAUCUGUUGUUCACAUCCUUAGGUUGAGGGCCCGAAUGUACACUUGUAAUCAAUCUAUUUAUAGACAGGUUUGACAUUGGGUGGAAUAUUGUUCAGUUUCUUCAUUUAUACAAUGAAGAUAGUAAUACAGUCUAUUUCCUGGAGUGGUUGUAAUAUGCAGAUAGGAUAUGCGUAAAGCACAUUGGAAACCUGAAACUAUGGUACAAAUGAGAGAUAUUAUUAUCAUUAUCAGCAUUGUUGUUCCUAUUUAUCACUACUGUGACCUCUUGCAUAGAAAACCAUGGUCUUGAGGUGAGAAGGGAACAAUUGAGCGUAUUCUCCCUAUAUAUUACAAUUUGUGUUAGUGGAUAUUUAUUGCAGCAAUCUGUGUGAUAUGCAACAUUGAUUUUGAGACUUUUACUGUCUAAUCCUAG